rnacentral:rRNA from 1 species
GACGAACGCUGGCGGCGUGCUUAACACAUGCAAGUCGAACGGAAAGGCCCUGCUUUUGUGGGGUGCUCGAGUGGCGAACGGGUGAGUAACACGUGAGUAACCUGCCCUUGACUUUGGGAUAACUUCAGGAAACUGGGGCUAAUACCGGAUAGGAGCUCCUGCUGCAUGGUGGGGGUUGGAAAUUUUCGGCGGUUGGGGAUGGACUCGCGGCUUAUCAGUUUGUUGGUGGGGUAGUGGCUUACCAAGGCUUUGACGGGUAGCCGGCCUGAGAGGGUGACCGGCCACAUUGGGACUGAGAUACGGCCCAGACUCCUACGGGAGGCAGCAGUGGGGAAUAUUGCACAAUGGGCGGAAGCCUGAUGCAGCAACGCCGCGUGCGGGAUGACGGCCUUCGGGUUGUAAACCGCUUUCGCCUGUGACGAAGCGUGAGUGACGGUAAUGGGUAAAGAAGCACCGGCUAACUACGUG